rnacentral:rRNA from 1 species
AUUGAACGCUGGCGGCAGGCCUAACACAUGCAAGUCGAGCGGAUGAAGGGAGCUUGCUCCUGGAUUCAGCGGCGGACGGGUGAGUAAUGCCUAGGAAUCUGCCUGGUAGUGGGGGAUAACGUCCGGAAACGGGCGCUAAUACCGCAUACGUCCUGAGGGAGAAAGUGGGGGAUCUUCGGACCUCACGCUAUCAGAUGAGCCUAGGUCGGAUUAGCUAGUUGGUGGGGUAAAGGCCUACCAAGGCGACGAUCCGUAACUGGUCUGAGAGGAUGAUCAGUCACACUGGAACUGAGACACGGCCCAGACUCCUACGGGAGGCAGCAGUGGGGAAUAUUGGACAAUGGGCGAAAGCCUGAUCCAGCCAUGCCGCGUGUGUGAAGAAGGUCUUCGGAUUGUAAAGCACUUUAAGUUGGGAGGAAGGGCAGUAAGUUAAUACCUUGCUGUUUUGACGGUACCAACAGAAUAAGCACCGGCUAACUUCGUG